GACGAACGCUGGCGGCGUGCUUAACACAUGCAAGUCGAACGGAAAGGCCCUGCUUUUGUGGGGUGCUCGAGUGGGGAACGGGUGAGUAACACGUGAGUAACCUGCCCCUGACUUUGGGAUAACUUCAGGAAACUGGGGCUAAUACCGGAUAGGAGCUCCUGCUGCAUGGUGGGGGUUGGAAAGGUUCGGCGGUUGGGGCUGGACUCGCGGCUUAUCAGCUUGUUGGUGGGGUAGUGGCUUACCAAGGCGUUGACGGGUAGCCGGCCUGAGAGGGUGACCGGCCACAUUGGGACUGAGAUACGUCCCAGACUCCUACGGGAGGCAGCAGUGGGGAAUAUUGCACAAUGGGCGGAAGCCUGAUGCAGCAACGCCGCGUGCGGGAUGACGGCCUUCGGGUUGUAAACCGCUUUCGCCUGUGACGAAGCGUGAGUGACGGUAAUGGGUAAAGAAGCACCGGCUAACUACGUG
rnacentral:rRNA from 1 species